AGCUCCAAUAGCGUAUAUUAAUGUUGUUGCAGUUAAAAAGCUCGUAGUUGGAUUUCUGGUCGGAACGCCUGGCCGGCUCCGCAAGGGGUCGUUGCUGUGGUUUCUCCGUCCAUCCUCAGGGGGAGCCGCGCUGGUAUUCAUUUAUCGGCGUGGUCACGCCUGUCGUUUACUGUGAACAAAUUAGAGUGUUCAAAGCAAGGUGUACUUGAAUACAUUAGCAUGGAAUAAUAAGAUAGGACUUUGGUGGUUCUUUUUGAUAUUUUGUUGGUUUGCACGCCAAAGUAAUGAUUAAUAGGAGCAGUUGGGGGUAUUCGUAUUCAAUUGUCAGAGGUGAAAUUCUUGGAUUUAUAGAAGACGAACUACUGCGAAAGCAUUUACCAAGGAUGUUUUCA
rnacentral:rRNA from 1 species